rnacentral:rRNA from 1 species
AUUGAACGCUGGCGGCAUGCUUUACACAUGCAAGUCGAACGGUAACAGGCCGCAAGGUGCUGACGAGUGGCGAACGGGUGAGUAAUGCAUCGGAACGUGCCCAGUCGUGGGGGAUAACGCAGCGAAAGCUGCGCUAAUACCGCAUACGAUCUCUGGAUGAAAGCGGGGGACCGAAAGGCCUCGCGCGAUUGGAGCGGCCGAUGUCAGAUUAGGUAGUUGGUGGGGUCAAGGCCCACCAAGCCAAAGAUCUGUAGCUGGUCUGAGAGGACGACCAGCCACACUGGGACUGAGACACGGCCCAGACUCCUACGGGAGGCAGCAGUGGGGAAUUUUGGACAAUGGGCGCAAGCCUGAUCCAGCAAUGCCGCGUGCAGGAAGAAGGCCUUCGGGUUGUAAACUGCUUUUGUACGGAACGAAACGGUCCGGGUUAAUACCCUGGGCUAAUGACGGUACCGUAAGAAUAAGCACCGGCUAACUACGUGCCAGCAGCCGCGGUAAAAC